UACGUAGGGUGCGAGCGUUGUCCGGAAUUACUGGGCGUAAAGAGCUCGUAGGUGGUUUGUCGCGUUGUCCGUGAAAACUCACAACUCAAUUGUGGGCGUGCGGGCGAUACGGGCAGACUGGAGUAUUGCAGGGGAGACUGGAAUUCCUGGUGUAGCGGUGGAAUGCGCAGAUAUCAGGAGGAACACCGGUGGCGAAGGCGGCUUUCUGGGACGGUACUGACGCUGGAGACGCGAAAGCGUGGGGAGCGAACAGG
rnacentral:rRNA from 1 species